GACGAACGCUGGCGGCGUGCUUAACACAUGCAAGUCGUACGGUAAGGCCCUUUCGGGGGUACACGAGUGGCGAACGGGUGAGUAACACGUGAGUAACCUGCCCACAACUUUGGGAUAACGCUAGGAAACUGGUGCUAAUACUGGAUAUGUGCCCCUGCUGCAUGGUGGGGGUUGGAAAGCUCCGGCGGUUGUGGAUGGACUCGCGGCCUAUCAGCUUGUUGGUGGGGUAGUGGCCUACCAAGGCGGCGACGGGUAGCCGGCCUGAGAGGGUGACCGGCCACAUUGGGACUGAGAUACGGCCCAGACUCCUACGGGAGGCAGCAGUGGGGAAUAUUGCACAAUGGGCGCAAGCCUGAUGCAGCAACGCCGCGUGCGGGAUGACGGCCUUCGGGUUGUAAACCGCUUUCAGCAGGGACGAAGCUUUUUGUGACGGUACCUGCAGAAGAAGCACGGGCUAACUACGUG
rnacentral:rRNA from 1 species